rnacentral:lncRNA from 1 species
UUUUACAGGAAACUUGACUUUGUCGUAAUAAAAUGGAUGAGAAUGACUGGUUGUUGGCUCACUGAUUGAACAGGUUGAUGGUAUCUCGCUCCCUCUUUUAGGACAUUACCACACUCAAAAAGGCAUGUUGUAAUGCAACAAAAUAGGAAAAACGCCAAGGGGGGUGACUACUUUUGCAUGUGUACACCAUCAGAUCUCGAGGUAAGCACAAUCUCUUGAAUUUGAAAACACACACUCAACAUUAAGGUGUUUAGUGGGGACCUCUGACACACUGAGGAGGAUUUUAUUCUGACGCUUUGGCCGCUGCCCCUGCAAACAGUGUUGUUUACUUAGCUAGAUCCCUCAGGCUUGGAGAAUGUAGUAUAGACACAAUAACCAUCUCCUCUCACUCACAGGCCCCAAUGCUCAUCUGAGAUCACUUGUCAUCAGGAUGGAUGUUGUUUGGGUUUCCAUAAACACAAGGAUGGAGAUAGAGUGAGGAGCUUUACAGAAAUCUUGGCCAAGUUACUUGGUUCUGUAGAAAAUCGAUUUUCCUAUUUAUGACAGCUCCAGUUCCCUCGGCAUCCCUCAAGCC